CAUUGUUCGUAUUUUUUAUUUUUUCCAUCCACUUUGUCGGGAUUUCCUGUGUACGCAAGACACCGAUAAAAUCAGUCUAACGAAACGAGCACACCAGAAUGUAUCGAUAUUACGUCACAGUUGUUUUGUUGGACCACAGGACGAUACUAAUUAUCUUAAUCGAAUGCGACGAAUACCGUUUCAUUAUCUAUACAUACGAAUUGAUUCUUUUCUUUGUCGCUCUAUAUUUUGUAAAUAUGAAAUUCAAUUAUUUUUAUCGACGCACGUUCCGUAACGUAAGCAUAGGUGCAGCUAUAUUUAAUUUUAUCGUUCCAAUAAUAAUAAAAACGGAAAUUACACAAAGAUUUUUAAAGAUGAAUGAAUUAUAUUUAGAAUCAUAUUUGGCGAACGGCCAAAAGAUCGCUUUAGCCCAAUUCUAACUCGACUUUUGAUUAUUUUUAAGAAGAAAAAAAAAAAAAAUACUUUCUUCAUUUCCGAAACAAAAAAAACAAAUUCGAAGAUUCGAUCGAAACUUCUCUUCAAAGAAUAAUUUCCAAGGUAUAUUUCGUGUAGUCGCGGGCGUGGAGAAAGUUUUCUGCCUUUCCUCGAACAUGACGGCUCCUUGGCCGUUACCCUAGGAAACGCUUCCUCCUCGAGGUGGUCCCCCACGUUCGACCGCUACCCACGCGUCCUUAUCCGAGGAAAGAAAGUUGUUACGCCGCACGAAACGCCGCGGAUUUUCUCUCCGCGACCCGCUCCUAUCUCCGCCGACAUGCCCUGGUUGCAAGCAGCAUCCUCUCCUUUUCCAUCCACGCGCCGCGGAAUACGUAAGUUUUCGAUAGUGAUGGGGAAAAUUUAAUAAUUUAGAAGUUGCGAAUUACUUUGAUAAUUUUUUAAUCAAAACAUAAUAAUAAUAAUAAUAAUAGCCGGAAAUAAUUGCGAUGCCAAAAUGUAAUGCUACGAACAAACGAAUAUUUUAAUAAAUAAUUAUUUAAUAAAUAAUUUUACUCGAAAUUUUUUCAAUCAGUUACUUUUUUCAACUUUUCGACCGCGUUCUUGAUGACAGAAAGCAGAGCAAAUUAUUUUCUCUAUUUUUUACUUAAAAACAAAAAUUCAAUUUGAUCCGUCGUCAAUUUGGAUUGUAUUUAUAUUUAAUAGAGAAGAAGGUGCAAGGAAUUCUUAGAAACAGUUUACUACCUCUUGGCGGUGUCGGUGUAUACGUUGGGUAAGGGAAAGGUGCGAUUUGGAUAACAGAAGAAAUAGCAGAUGUCAACGUGUAUUUACAAAGAUGCCGUAGACACAAACAAAAUCGAGAAAAAGUUCAACAACCAGACGAUAAAGUAUAUCGUACGUGUUACGUGUAUAUUAAUAAGCGACUUGACUGUGGAGGACAAAUUUAAGAGAGGCAACGCCUCCGAAUACGUCCCUGACCCGCGUAAAAACCUUCCGAAUGUCUAGCACGGCAAAAUGUUUUAAUCGUGGCACGACUAUAAACAACUCCUUCGUUCGAGGAGAGGAUUUACGAGACGUG